rnacentral:rRNA from 1 species
GUCUACGGCCACACCACCCUGCACACACCCGAUCUCGUCUGACCUCCUAAGCUAAGCAGGGUCGGGCCUGGUUAGUACGGGGAUGGGAGGAUGGAGGAAAAUAAGAACACAGCAGGCC